rnacentral:lncRNA from 10 species
CCGGAUUUGCAGAGGGAGUCGCCUGAGGGUCCCGUUCUGGUCCUGUGGAGAGGUGAAGCUGGCUGGGCUUCUGGGUCUGGUGGGGACUUGGAGAACUUUUCUGUCUAGCUAAAGGUUUGUAAACACACCAGUCAGCACUGUGUCUAGCUACUGGGGUGGGAACUUGGAGAACUUCUCUGUCUAGCUAAAGUAUUGUAAAAACGCACCAGUCAGUGCUCUGUGUCUAGCUAAAGGUUUGUAAACGCACCAAUCAGCACUCUUUAAAAACGGACCAAUCAGCACUCUGUAAAAUGGACCAAUCAGCACUCUGUAAAGUGGACCAAUCAGCAGGAUGUGGGCGGGG